AAAAUUUUAGCUAUCAAUAGCGGAGGAAAAGAAACCAACAGGGAUUACCUCAGUAACGGCGAGUGAAGCGGUAACAGCUCAAAUUUGAAAUCUGGCUCUUUCAGGGUCCGAGUUGUAAUUUGUAGAAGAUGCUUCGGGUGAGGCUCCGGUCUAAGUUCCUUGGAACAGGACGUCAUAGAGGGUGAGAAUCCCGUAUGUGACUGGGUGCCCUCGCCUAUGUGAAGCUCUUUCGACGAGUCGAGUUGUUUGGGAAUGCAGCUCAAAAUGGGUGGUAAAUUUCAUCUAAAGCUAAAUAUUGGCCAGAGACCGAUAGCGCACAAGUAGAGUGAUCGAAAGAUGAAAAGCACUUUGGAAAGAGAGUUAAACAGUACGUGAAAUUGUUGAAAGGGAAGCGCUUGCAACCAGACUUGCGCGCGGUUGAUCAUCUGGGGUUCUCCCCAGUGCACUCUGCCGUGCUCAGGCCAGCAUCGGUUCCGGUGGUUGGAUAAAGGCCCUGGGAAAGUAGCUCCUCUCGGGGAGUGUUAUAGACCAGGGUGCAAUGCAGCCUACUGGGACCGAGGACCGCGCUUCGGCUAGGAUGCUGGCGUAAUGGUUGUAAGCGACCCGUCUUGAAACACGGACCAAGGAGUCUAACAUCUAUGCGAGUGUUUGGGUGUCAAACCCAUACGCGUAAUGAAAGUGAACGGAGGUGAGAACCCUUAAGGGUGCAUCAUCGACCGAUCCUGAUGUCUUCGGAUGGAUUUGAGUAAGAGCAUAGCUGUUGGGACCCGAAAGAUGGUGAACUAUGCGUGAAUAGGGUGAAGCCAGAGGAAACUCUGGUGGAGGCUCGCAGCGGUUCUGACGUGCAAAUCGAUCGUCAAAUUUGCGCAUAGGGGCGAAAGACAAUCAACCUCGGU
rnacentral:rRNA from 1 species